rnacentral:lncRNA from 1 species
GAGUUCGAUUCGCCGCCUUCCCCCAACUGCUUUCUCGCCGGCAGCUCCUUCGUCACGUCUCCGCCUUUGGGUCGCUGUGGCUCCGCCGUCCCUAGUAAGUUGUGUCGCUGAGUUGCUGUGUUGUGAAUUUUAAUUGUUAUGUUGUGAACUUUAGUUGUUGUGUUGUGAACAAUUAUCUAAAUAUUUGCUGAGUUGCUAGAAAGCUGAUGACACGAGGUCAAAUUCUCUAUCUUUUUGCUGCAAUGCUACAACAAGCUGAUUAAUCUUUUCAAAAUUAAACAGCAUGUUAGUAGGCAGCAAUCAUAUGUAAUUUCUAGAUUUUUUUGUUAGCUGCAAAUUGGAGUUCGAAAUGUUGAUUUAAACCAUUUUGCUGCUUAAGUUUUGUUGAUUUUUGGAUAUUAUAGUAGAAUUUAGAUUAUAUGAGAUUGAAGUUAACGGUUAUUUGUGGUUAACUGAACCACUAAUCGGUUCGAUUAGCAGUUAGUGAAAUUGCCCUUAUUCGGUGUCGGUUAACUAGAAAAUCGGUUUGGUUAUAUCUAAACCGGACCGAUUACCAAUCCUACAUAUAUGUAUUAUGUUAUGAUGUUUUGUUGCACAAUUAAAGCAUAAGAUAAAUGAUGUUAUGUUUUUGUGUUUGUUA